rnacentral:rRNA from 1 species
UACGUAGGUGGCAAGCGUUGUCCGGAAUCACUGGGCGUAAAGCGCGCGCAGGCGGCGAUCUACGUCUGGGGGUGAAAAGCCCCGGAGCUCAACUCCGGGACUGCCUUGGAUACGGGAUCGCUUGAGGAUUGGAGAGGCAAGGGGAAUUCCACGUGUAGCGGUGAAAAUGCGUAGAGAUGUGGAGGAACACCUGUGGCGAAGGCGCCUUGCUGGCCAAUUUUCUGACGCUGAGGCGCGAAAGCGUGGGGAGCAAACAGG